UACGGAGGGUGCAAGCGUUAUCCGGAUUCACUGGGUUUAAAGGGAGCGUAGGUGGGAUGGUAAGUCAGUGGUGAAAUCUCCGGGCUUAACUCGGAAACUGCCGUUGAUACUAUCAUUCUUGAAUAUUGUGGAGGUAAGCGGAAUAUGUCAUGUAGCGGUGAAAUGCUUAGAUAUGACAUAGAACACCAAUAGCGAAGGCAGCUUGCUACACAAUUAUUGACACUGAGGCUCGAAAGCGUGGGGAUCAAACAGG
rnacentral:rRNA from 1 species